GUUGACCAGGAUGGUCUCGAUCUCUUGACCUCGUGAUCCACCUGCCUUGGCCUCCCAAAGUGCUGGGAUUGCAGGCUUGAGCCACUGUGCCCGGCCCUGUGUGUUUUAUUUCUAAAGUAAUUUUCUCUCCCUCUUUAAGAAGGUAGCUGGUCAUUUAAUGAACUGGAAAUGAUGGAAAGACAGCUUCCACCCUUGGUUUCUUGGAUGGAUUCUACCAGACCUUCCCAGAGAAGCAGAGGAAUGGGGACUUUCCAAGGACCCAGACAGCUGGCUUGGCCCUGCCAUGUGAGGA
rnacentral:lncRNA from 13 species